GGAGGAGUGGGUGAGUGGCUGAAACCAGCAGAUUGCUAAUUUGUCGUACGAUUAAGGUCGUACCGAGAGUUCGAAUCUCUCCUCCUCCGCCA
rnacentral:tRNA from 1 species